rnacentral:rRNA from 1 species
CAGUAGUCACGUAGUUGUCAUGGCUCAGAACGAACGCUGGCGGCAUGCCUAACACAUGCAAGUCGAACGAGACCUUCGGGUCUAGUGGCGCACGGGUGCGUAACACGUGGGAAUUUGCUCGGGGUAUGUAAUAACUCAGGGAAACUUGAGCUAAUACCAUAUAAUGUCUUCGGACCAAAGAUUUAUCGCCUUUAGAUGGGCCCGCGUUGGAUUAGCUAGUUGGUGGGGUAAAGGCCUACCAAGGCGACGAUCCAUAGCUGGUCUGAGAGGAUGAUCAGCCACACUGGGACUGAGACACGGCCCAGACUCCUACGGGAGGCAGCAGUGGGGAAUAUUGGACAAUGGGCGAAAGCCUGAUCCAGCAAUGCCGCGUGAGUGAUGAAGGCCUUAGGGUUGUAAAGCUCUUUUACCCGAGAUGAUAAUGACAGUAUCGGGAGAAUAAGCUCCGGCUAACUCCGUG